UCCAAUCAUUUUUUGAAAGUCGCUCUGGAUAAGAGCGUCUGCUAAAUGACUUAAA
rfam:Salmo salar isolate Sally breed double haploid chromosome ssa24, whole genome shotgun sequence.